rnacentral:rRNA from 2 species
UCGAGGAUCUUCCACAAUGGGCGAAAGCCUGAUGGAGCGACGCCGCGUGAGGGAUGAAGGCCCUUUGGGUUGUAAACCUCUGUUAGGGGAGAAGAACAGCGGGGGGAGCAACAUGCCCUCCGCCUGACGUUAUCCCCAGAGAAAGCUCCGGCCAACUCCGUGCCAGCAGCCGCGGUAAUACGGGGGGAGCGAGCGUUGUCCGGAAUCAUUGGGCGUAAAGGGCGUGUAGGCGGCUGGGCAAGUCGAAUGUGAAAUCCCACGGCUCAACCGUGGAACUGCGUUCGAAACUGCCCUGCUUGAGUGCGGGAGAGGUGUGCGGAAUUCCUGGUGUAGCGGUGGAAUGCGUAGAUAUCAGGAAGAACACCGGUGGCGAAGGCGGCACACUGGCCUGGCACUGACGCUGAGGCGCGAAAGCGUGGGUAGCAAACAGG